rnacentral:rRNA from 1 species
CAGCAGUGGGGAAUAUUGCACAAUGGGCGCAAGCCUGAUGCAGCGACGCCGCGUGAAGGAUGAAGGUCUUCGGAUCGUAAACUUCUAUCAGCAGGGAAGAAACCAUGACGGUACCUGACUAAGAAGCCCCGGCUAACUACGUGCCAGCAGCCGCGGUAAUACGUAGGGGGCAAGCGUUAUCCGGAAUUACUGGGUGUAAAGGGUGCGUAGGCGGCGAUUUAAGUCAGAUGUGAAAACUCAGGGCUCAACCUUGAGACUGCAUCUGAAACUGAGUUGCUAGAGUGCAGGAGAGGAAAGCGGAAUUCCGAGUGUAGCGGUGAAAUGCGUAGAGAUUCGGAGGAACACCGGUAGCGAAGGCGGCUUUCUGGACUGUAACUGACGCUGAGGCACGAAAGCGUGGGGAGCGAACAGGAUUAGA